rnacentral:sRNA from 1 species
GCGGAUCCUUCCUGGGCAGAACCGUGCCUCUAGGCCACCUCCCCCAAGCCACCAAGCCCCCGCGGUGGGCCAGCCUUGGCCCAGUGUCACGCAGGACAGAAAUGACCAACAGAUAACUGAGGACAAUGGACCUGCCUGGGCAUAGACUUCCUUAAGGUCUGUUCAACAUGGGUGAAUCAAUGAAUUGCACUUCAACAGCAAAAUUGGAUUGUAUUGAUUGGUUGGCUCACUCUUCUCAUCCUUUAUGUUUCAGAGAAGGUCGGAUUAUAAAUGCAAGCACCUACAUUUAAGCAACAGUUGAGAUGCUUAAGAACGUGCUUCUGUGUGAUUCUGAUUAAUCCUUAACUAUGCUCUGAUUUCAUUUUACUUGUAAAUCAAUUGACACAUACUUCAGGGACCAUCCUGUCUUUUCUCUGGGGUUGCUGUCACCGUAUUUGUAACUUGAGGAUUUAAUAAUUGAAGAUUGAUAAAAAA